CGACAUCAAGAAGGCCGCUUUUUGUAACCUUUUCUUUUCUCUUCUUAGUUAAAAAAAUUGAACUGGCCGGCCUUCUCCGUUCAUCUCGCAAAACCCUAGUUGAGGACGCGCGCGGCAUGGACGAAUCCUCCGAGAAGCUCCCGGCCUCCGGUCCAAAUGGGAACGAUGGGGCUUCGCCGGCGGCGGAGGAUGCCGGGUUUCGGGUUGGCCAGAGGGUCCACGCCAUCGGCAAUCCCCGGCGGACGGGGACGGUGCGGUACGUGGGAGAAGUGGAGGGGCACGUCGGGGAAUGGGUGGGCGUCGACUGGGAUGACGGCGAAGGGAAGCACGACGGUUCCGUCAACGGGGUCCGGUACUUCGCGGCCGCCGGCGAGAGGUCGGCCUCGUUCGUCCGCCCCAAGAACCUCAGCGCCGGGAUCUCAUUCAUCGAGGCGCUCCAUCUCCGGUACCGAGGAGAUUCCACCAAGGAAGAAGAGGAUGAAAUGUAUGUUCUUUCAACUAGCAACAAACGUGUAUCCAUACAACUUGUGGGAAAAAAUAAAGUUCAAGAGAAGUUAAAACACUUCGAGGAGUUGCGAGGGGCAUCAGUUUCUUAUUUGGGAGUCAGCUUUGUUGAACCUUCGCAUGAGAUCAAUGCUCUAGUCCCGAAUCUUGAAGAGCUCGAUUUGACAGGAAACCUACUUUCAAAAUGGCAAGACAUUGGUUCCCUUUGUGAUGCCUUACCAGCACUUGGAGUCCUUAAUUUAACAAACAAUUUCAUGGAGCAUGAUGUAGAGGAACUUCCUUUACUUAAAAUAAUUCGUACUUUGGUUCUCAAUAACUGUGGCAUGGCAUGGAAAGAGGUUGAAAUACUUAAAGAGUCACUUCCUGCAGUUGAAGAGCUCCAUUUAAUGGCAAAUAAGUUAAGGACAAUCAUGCCUGCACCUUCUGUACCAGUGACUGCCUUUGUUCCAGGAUUUGAUAACUUGCGGCUUAUAAACUUGGAAGACAACUGUAUUGAUUCAUGGGAUGAAAUUCUGAAGUUAUCUUACCUAAGAAGCUUGGAGCAGCUUCAUUUGAACAAGAAUAAACUGAAGCAUAUAUACUACCCUGCUAAUCAUCCAUGCCCAGGAACACCGAAUAAUUAUUAUAUGCAAGAUACAUCUUGGAGGCCUUUUGAGAAUUUGCAGUGCCUUCUUCUAGGAUGUAAUGAGAUCGAAGACUUGGCAUCUAUAGAUUCACUAAACUCUUUCCCUAGCUUGAUGGACAUCAGGCUUUCUGAGAAUCCUAUAGUUGAUCCAGCUCAAGGUGGUGUACCAAGAUUUGUUUUGGUUGCACGUCUUGCGAAAGCCAAGAUAUUAAAUGGGAGUGAGGUUAGCCCACGUGAACGGAAGGAAUCAGAAAUUCGAUAUGUCCGUCUUGUUAUGGCCAAGAUGCAGUCAGAUGAUUCAGAGGAGAUUAAGCAACUUCACCCUAGGUUUGCCGAGCUUAAGGCACUACAUGGCAUCGAAGAUGAGAAGCCUUCUUGUGGAAUAUCAGGCCCGCAGAAAAUGGCUUCUGGACUUCUUUGUGUCACCUUGAAAUGUGUGGGAGCUUCCAUUGGAGAGAAGCAGCCCUUGAAAAAAAAAAUACCACCUUCAACUACUGUAUGUUGGCAAGUUAAAGGUUCUAUGUGAGAGUUUCUUCAAACUGAAAGGAAUCCAGUUGAGAUUAUUUCUUCAAGAAGAGGGUUCCCCAUUACCCCUAUUGCUUAAUGAUGAUAUGGCUCCUUUAAUGGAUCUUGGAAUCGGCAGAGAGGCAACCAUUCUGGUGGAUGAAGAAAGUUAGCUUUUUGAGAGGUUGCAGUUCAGGUGCACAAACGUGGCAUGAAUCUCUGGUGAUUUGAUCCAGCUAGCUGAAGGUCCUUUCUUUCUUAUACAUUAGCACAAAAUUUACUCGUUUGCACUUUUGCAGUUUGCCUUGAUGAUGCUCCAAUGUUCUUACAAGGGAAAAGAUAACAAAGUUAAAAUGAUUUUGUAAUUUUCUUUGCAAUCUUGAGAUACAGUGAGAGCGAGAUUGAUGUGACAAUUUACAAGGUUUGCUGAAUUUCUUUUGUAGGUCUGUAUUCCGCGAGGAAUGUAAAUUUAUCAUUUUUGUUAUUGCCAUUACUAAUUAUUGUAUGACAAUAGUGUUAUGUUUAUGUCUUUUGAACA